AGUCACACUGGAACUGAGACACGGUCCAGACUCCUACGGGAGGCAGCAGUGGGGAAUAUUGGACAAUGGGCGAAAGCCUGAUCCAGCCAUGCCGCGUGUGUGAAGAAGGUCUUCGGAUUGUAAAGCACUUUAAGUUGGGAGGAAGGGCAUUAACCUAAUACUUAGUUUUUGACGUUACCGACAGAAUAAGCACCGGCUAACUCUGUGCCAGCAGCCGCGGUAAUACAGAGGGUGCAAGCGUUAAUCGGAAUUACUGGGCGUAAAGCGCGCGUAGGUGGUUUGUUAA
rnacentral:rRNA from 1 species